GCCCGGGUGGCGGAAUUGGAAGACGCGGAGGACUCAAAAUCCUUUGACCUCGCGGUCGUGUGGGUUCGAGUCCCACCCCGGGCACCA
rnacentral:tRNA from 2 species